rnacentral:rRNA from 1 species
AGUGAACGCUGGCGGUAGGCCUAACACAUGCAAGUCGAACGGCAGCACAGGAGAGCUUGCUCUCUGGGUGGCGAGUGGCGGACGGGUGAGGAAUACAUCGGAAUCUACUCUGUCGUGGGGGAUAACGUAGGGAAACUUACGCUAAUACCGCAUACGACCUACGGGUGAAAGCAGGGGAUCUUCGGACCUUGCGCGAUUGAAUGAGCCGAUGUCGGAUUAGCUAGUUGGCGGGGUAAGGGCCCACCAAGGCGACGAUCCGUAGCUGGUCUGAUAGGAUGAUCAGCCACCCUGGAACUGAGACACGGUCCAGACUCCUACGGGAGGCAGCAGUGGGGAAUAUUGGACAAUGGGCGCAAGCCUGAUCCAGCCAUACCGCGUGGGUGAAGAAGGCCUUCGGGUUGUAAAGCCCUUUUGUUGGGAAAGAAAUCCAGCUGGCUAAUACCCGGUUGGGAUGACGGUACCCAAAGAAUAAGCACCGGCUAACUUCGUGCCAGCAGCCGCGGUAA